CGCAGAGGCGAUUUCGGUCAAAUCAUGUGUAAUCUUCGUGGCGGACGGGUGAGUAACGCGUGGGUAACCUGCCUUACACUGGGGGAUAACACUUAGAAAUAGGUGCUAAUACCGCAUAAGCGCACGAAGCCGCAUGGAUUUGUGUGAAAAACUCCGGUGGUGUAAGAUGGACCCGCGUCUGAUUAGCUUGUUGGCGGGGUAACGGCCCACCAAGGCGACGAUCAGUAGCCGGCCUGAGAGGGUGGACGGCCACAUUGGGACUGAGACACGGCCCAAACUCCUACGGGAGGCAGCAGUGGGGGAUAUUGGACAAUGGGGGGAACCCUGAUCCAGCGACGCCGCGUGAGUGAAGAAGUAUUUCGGUAUGUAAAGCUCUGUCAGCAGGGAAGAAAGAAAUGACGGUACCUGACCAAGAAGCCCCGGCUAACUACGUGCCAGCAGCCGCGGUAAUACGUAGGGGGCAAGCGUUAUCCGGAAUUACUGGGUGUAAAGGGAGCGUAGACGGUUAAGUAAGUCUGGAGUGAAAGGCCGGGGCCCAACCCCGGGACUGCUCUGGAAACUAUUUAACUUG
rnacentral:rRNA from 1 species